GAUAGAGGAACGAAGGCUAAAACCUCACGUCCUGUGGUAACGCCUUCAUGACCAACAACGGUGCUGC
rnacentral:sRNA from 1 species